CUGCAGGGUGGUUUUCAGUCCUCUGCGCUUCCACCUGGGUAGCUGCUGUCGCACUUACUGCCAGGCAUGCCUAUUGUGCCCUUUGUCGCCCUGGCCUCCCAUCUUCCCCGGAAGGUUGGGUCCUGCAGGCUCAGCACGCACAUUUCAGAAGGAGGCGGCGAUGGAGAGUCGUCGUUUAAGCGGUCGGCCCUCCCCCGUCCCCGGCUCCGCUAGCGCCGGCGGUCGCUGGUUGCCAUCGCUGCGAAACGGGAUGGCGGAACCGCCCACAGGACCCACUUGCCACAGGCUGGGGGAGGGGGAGUGCACCCGACUGCCUUUCCAGUCCCAGAUCCUGAGAUGAAGACCUCGGGGCGUGGAAGUAAAAUUGCUUGGAAGUUCUGUGCUCUCGGUGCCACUAUUCUGCUUUAACGUGAACGGAAACAGCCUAAGUCCAGGUGCCAGCCAGGGAGGCCACUCCGGGCCCCGCUGACUAAGCCCUGGACUGACCGUCAGGAGUCGUUAGGCCGGGUCAACUGUGACUCGGGACGUUGACUCAUUCUCCCUAGGCGAGUGACUUAAGCAUUCAGUGUCUCAGCUUUCUCAUUUAUGAAGCGCUCAUGAUACACUUACCUCACAAGGGUGUGCUGUGGUAAUGGUUGCAUCCGGCUUUGACAAUGCAUCGGACUCUAUAAAUGCUUUAUAAUAAGCAACCUGGUGCCUUCCUAAGGAUCAGCUGCUUCCCCUGAUGUUUUUUCAAACGAUGUUUAAAUUUUUCUUUUGUUUACUUUGUUACAAUUAUGAUGUACACCAACGCAAUUUUAAAGUUUCAAGACAAUUUUUUUCUUUAUAACUGUAGGUACCCUCAGCAGAAGCUUUAAUGUUCACGAAAAUAUUGUUAUAUUCACCACAAUCAUUGGCAAUUAGAAAUUUAUCCCCACACUGGCAUCCUACAUUUCCUUUCCCUCUAAGACAGUGUUAUCUUUUCUCAAGACAGUGUUAUGCUGCACAGUGUGGUUGUUAAGACAACAAAUAGAGAUAAAUCUGGUAGAAUACUACUAUAAGGUUCUAAUGAGGGAGACAUUAGACCACUACUAUUUUCCAUGUUUCUUAAGAAUGUUAACACCAGAAAAAUCAGUAUAAGCAGAGUGCCUGUGCCUGCCUGCUUAUAGUGUUGCUGAUGUCCAGAGCUGUGUCAUACCUAUUGUUGAGUACAUAAUGGUGGCUUGAGUUGACUAACAUCACUGAAGCUGUAUAAGAACUCAAAACCAUGGCCUGUUCCUAUGUUGUGGUUUACCUGGGUAUCAGAGGUGAUUAAUGAAAGCUUUUGUCCAGUCAGCUUAGCUCUAGUAGGUUUAAAGUAGAUGGAAUUAAAACGAACAUAGACAGAUAAAUGGAUUUCUACUUCCAGAGACUAUCUGUUGCUUAGACUACCCAAAGUAGCUACAGUUGAUCUCAGUGGUAUUUCCUGUUGGUUAAAAGUAGUAUCUGGUUAUCUUCUUGGAGGUGAUAGCGUAGAUGUACUCUUUUCAGGAUGCUGCUAGAUAACACAGCAAAGAAUUAAGGAGAUUUCGCUCCCCAUAUAGGACUGAAAGCCAGUGAUGUUCUUAAAACUUUUUUUAAUGAUAGCCUCCAUUUUAUUAACUUUUCUCUUGAUCAAAAAACUCCCCACUUUUGUCAGCCAUACUAGUACUUCUACAAUACUUAUGUAUGUUCCUAUGCCUUAUAGCUUGAUUUCUUUCCAUUUUGCAUAGACUUUGUUGCAUGUGUUUUAUGGCACGUUCAUGUGUUUGCCUAAUAUCACUAUUAGAUUCUACUUUGUCAAAGAUUUGGUGAUUAGAUUUUUAUGUGUGUAUGUGGUUGUUUUGUUUUUGCUAAUCUGAAAUAUACAGAGCAGAAAUUUUAUACUUUAUUAAUCCAGAAAAAAUUACAUUGUUACCUUGCUACCACAUUCCUGCUUAUUCUUAAAGAAAGGGUAAUAAAAAGAUACAUGAAAUGGGA